rnacentral:rRNA from 1 species
GAUGAACGCUAGCGGCAGGCUUAAUACAUGCAAGUCGUGGGGCAGCAUGAAUGUAGCAAUACAUUUGAUGGCGACCGGCAAACGGGUGCGGAACACGUACACAACCUUCCUAUAAGUGGGGAAUAGCACAGAGAAAUUUGGAUUAAUACCCCGUAACAUAAUGAUAUGGCAUCAUAUUAUUAUUAUAGCUUCGGCGCUUAUUGAUGGGUGUGCGGCUGAUUAGAUAGUUGGCGGGGUAACGGCCCACCAAGUCUACGAUCAGUAGCUGAUGUGAGAGCAUGAUCAGCCACACGGGCACUGAGACACGGGCCCGACUCCUACGGGAGGCAGCAGUAAGGGAUAUUGGUCAAUGGACGCAAGUCUGAACCAGCCAUGCCGCGUGAAGGAUUAAGGUCCUCUGGAUUGUAAACUUCUUUUAUCUGGGACGAAAAAAGGCUUUUCUAAGUCACUUGACGGUACCAGAUGAAUAAGCACCGGCUAACUCCGUGCCAGCCGCCGCGGUAACAC